CCUACGGGAGGCAGCAGUGGGGAAUCUUGCGCAAUGGGCGAAAGCCUGACGCAGCAACGCCGCGUGCGGGAAGAAGGCUUUCGGGCUGUAAACCGCUUUCAGCAGGAACGAAAAUGACGGUACCUGCAGAAGAAGGAGCGGCCAACUAUGUGCCAGCAGCCGCGGUGAUACAUAGGCUUCAAGCGUUGUCCGGAUUUAUUGGGCGUAAAGAGUUCGUAGGCGGUCAAGUAAGUCGGGUGUGAAAAUUCUGGGCUCAACCCAGAGACGCCACCCGAUACUGCUUAACUUGAGUUCGAUAGGGGAGUGGGGAAUUCCUAGUGUAGCGGUGAAAUGCGCAGAUAUUAGGAGGAACACCGGUGGCGAAGGCGCCACUCUGGAUCGAUACUGACGCUGAGGAACGAAAGCAUGGGUAGCAAACAGGAUUAGAUACCCUAGGUAGUCCGAUGCCGUAAACGGUGGGCACUAGGUGUGGGUUUCUAUUAACGAAAUCCGCGCCGUCGCUAACGCAUUAAGUGCCCCGCCUGGGGAGUACGGUCGCAAGCUAAAACGUCAAAGAUAGUAAGGCGUGNGAGUAGUUCGACGACGACGACGAGGAGGAGG
rnacentral:rRNA from 1 species